AAUGGUCAAAUUUAAUCCCCACCCACAUAUAUCUACCUAAUUACAACCUAAAACAAAAACCCUAGAGAACACCCCUGAACCCUUAGAGAUGCAGCAGCCCCAACCCGCCGACCCCUCUCCCUUCAGUCUAAAAACUAGCCUUCCACACCACCCUUCAGCCACCAGCCACACGCCACCAAGCUCGACGGACAUCCGACAACAAUCUUCAACAACGAGCCGCCCACCCCUAAGACUCCGACUGCCGCACACAACUUUCCCAAAAAUCAAUCUUCAUUCCUUAACUUGAAACACUGAUUUUCCUCCAACAAAGAGACAAAACCAAGAAUCCUAGAUACAUAUCCAAUUCGCCACAAAUAACAAUUUUAUUUGUUACCAAAAAGUGCUUGUGACCAUGCUUUUUCUUCAUAGAAAGACCAGUACACUCCAAAAGAAAAUUAGGAGUACAUCGUGUCGGGGUUACAUGGUUGUUCCCAUGUUUUAGAACAACAACAAAUCAAGAGAUGAAAGUCAGUGGCUUUAACACAAGGGAAUGGACUGUAUAAGCGGAGUAUUCCGGCGAAAUUGGAGGCGUGAUCGAGGCAGUGAGGUUUUUCAAUUGAGGUGUCCAUUCGCGGUUUUCCGUCUCCGAUUGAAGGCUCCUACUUGGUCGAGUUAGACAUCAAAGGUCUAUUCAUGCUUCUCUAACUUGAAAUCUUUUAAUUGCUUUAUUUGAUAGUGAAUUUGAUUUAUGAAACUCUCUGUUAUUUUGUCUUGUUCUAGAUUAAUGGAUGAUUUGUCUUCUCUGCUCAAUCUAUUUGAUGUCAAGAAUGGAUUUACUUACUAAGCAAUUAAGAUGGUUGAACAGUUGAUGAGUUAAAGGGGCCUUGGGGUUUGGGGUACUGGAAAUUGAAAAAAGGAUUUGAGCCAUGUGGUUUGUUAGGGAUUAAACUUCAUGGUAUUUGGGCUUCGUAUGAUUUCAAUUGUUAUUAUUAUAUUCUAUUGAGUCGACAGUAGUAUGCUUAGGUCCGUCAUCACCGGGGUAGGCAAACUUUAGGAUUUAUUUUAGUUUUAAGGUGAGAGGUCAUUCCUUUUGUUAAAUUCAUCUGGGGAAUGCCCCGAAGGAUUUGUAUAUAUUUUAUUCCGGGGAAUGCCCCGUAGUAUUUUGUAAUUGGAGGCUAAAAGUAGAACUUGUAGUGUUUUAUUCUUGUUUUAUUUUUCUUUAUUAGGUGGGGACGACCUCGAGCCUCUUAUGUGUUAAUUUUCCCAUUUAUGUGUUUAUUACCUCAAUUUGAAUAUUCUAAAAUCCAACUAGAUCGAGUACGCAACUGUGACUUUCACGGGAUUUGCGGAGUGCCUAACACCUUCUCCCCGAGUCAAAUGAACCCCCUUACUCAAAUCUCUGGUGCAGACUUAGUUUUAAAGUCCGAAGUGUUUUGAAAGGAAAAAUUAUAUUUUUUAAAAACGGUGAUCUGGCACACCGAAACCAAUGUCAAGUGGCGACUCUGAGUUAAUCCUUUUGAACACUAUCUUUUGUCACUUUCAAAAUUGAAAAAAAAACCUUUCGAUCGUUGCUAAAUCUUUUUAUUUAUUUAAGAGGGUUAGUGAGGUGGUAAAAAGGGGGUGUGACAGCUCUGGCGACUCUGCUGGGGAGUUGCAGGUUUGAGCUGAUACUUGAUCUUGUUGGCUUUUAGGAUAUUCGGUUGAGGUGUUUAUUUUCUUUAUUUGCUUUGUUUAGUUGGUUUUUUUGUCUUAUUUCCCGUUUUGUUGGUUGUUUGUUUAUCGUUUUUCCUUAUGUAUUACUGCUUUAUAAAUUGUCAUCAUUUGCAUAACCCUAGGUUUUUUUUUCCGCAACAAGUCUUCCGAAGUACGUUUGAGCGUACACGACCUUUUGUCAGUCAUCGAUGUCUUUAGGGGGUGGCGUGGGAGCGUGGAGUGGGCGGACAGCUAGAGCAACCGCCAUCGACCACGUGCCGCCCCGAAUUGCCUUGUCUAGUGAACCCCAAACGUAGGUCAAACUUUAGGUCAUUUUUAUUUGCAUAAUUAUCAUUGUGACUUAGUAGGGCUCGGUCCUAGGUACCGUGUUCCUUUGUAGGAAGCAUGACCAAGUUGUGUCAAGUGGGCCCAUGGCCCAAAAGGACAUUCAAUCGUCCCUAUGUGCGACAUGCUGCAUUCUUUAAGGGUAAAAGGGUCAUUUGGCAGACCAAUGAUGGUUGAGGGUAUAUAGAUGAAGCAAGUAGGGCCCAGUUAUAUUUUUCUUUUACAACUUUUUCAAGAAAAGACCAAAAAAAAUUGAAAAUGAAAAAAAAAUCCAAAAUGAUUUUGCAAUUUCUCAUCAUUUCCAAAAUACAAAAAAAAAGAGAAAAAGAAAAUCCAAAAGAUUUUUACCUUUUCCAUCAUUUUUCAAAAAAAACAAAAAAUAUAGUUUCUCCAAAUUAAUUGCAUUUUUUUAAAAAAGCUUUCUCCCAUAUCCAAUCUUUCCGAACUGUGCAUACCUGAUUCUUGUCUUUUGGGACCGGAUACGUAGGCAGCCCACAUAGGUUCCAGUCUUCCUAGUGUCAUAGGUUCUUGGCUUCGCGGGGUCUUGGCCAAAUCUUGCAUGUCUAGCCACGUUUGGCCAUAUCGGCUGCUUUUGCAAAAUAGGGAUAUUUUCGCAAAAUGGUUUGUUAAACUAUGUAUUAGAGUCCUUAGCCCAUAGCAAGGUGUUCUCUCAGUUUUAAGGUCCAUUCCCGUUGAAUUUGCAUGUCUAGCCACUUUUGGCCAUAUCGGCCAUUGUUGCAAAAUGGGGUCAUUUUCGCAAAAGUGGUUCAAUUACCCAUGUCUUAGGAUUUUGAGUCCACAACUAGGUGUCAUAUUACUUUAAGGUCCUUCCUUUUUGAGUUUGCAUCUUUAGCCACUUCUGGCCAUAUCGACCAUUCAAAAUGGGUUAUUUCUGCAAAUUAAUUUUGGGCCAUGAUUAUUGCGAGUUUGAAUCCAUAUAAGCCUUAGGGAGGUAUGUCCAUGUCUUUGAGGUCAUCUUUGUUGAGUUCGCGCUAAUAGCCACAUUUUGGCUGCAUAGGUCAUUUUGCAAAAAUAGCCUUAAUCAUGCCUUGCAUGUGUCCAAUAGAAGGUGUCAUGGCGUCACAUGUGUUUUGAGUCACUAGCUCUAUUUGAUAUUAUUUUCUCCAUUCAGGUAUGGAUCAAUUUGCUAGAGUUUGAGCAUAACAAAUACCCCAGGACCAUUUUAGUCAAGAUCAUUGCAUGCACGAGCUGCUUGAGGAAACUUUUUAUUUUUUAGUCUAUUUUAUGUUGUCUUUUAAUUAUUAGUCUUAUACAGUAGUAUCGAGUAUGUCAGUCUAGUUAAGAUUUUCAAGUCUUUUGUUAUAGUACUUCCUAUUUUGUAUUUGAAAAACAAAAAAAAUUAUAAAUGAAAAUUCCAAAAAGAUUUUUAUUUUUAGUUUAUUCGUCCAUUACUUUUUUCAGAACUAUGCUUGAUCUGAUUCAUGAGGGACAUGAUACACAGGCAACCUACAUAGGGUUCGAUCGAAUCUUUUUUUUUUUUUGAAAAAAAAAGAGACAAAAAAAAGAAAAAAAAAAGAUUAAAUUGUGGAUGUGAUAAAUGAGAGGAAAGAAAAGAGUGACAAUUAGAAAGAAAAUAAAGGAAGGAAAAUGAACAAGCCAGGAAGUGCUACAAAAGAAAGAAAAGAGAAGAUUGAAAUGAAACAAAAUUGGGAUGAUGCCAAGUGACCUUGUGACCCUCGAAGUCACUCUAGAACUAUUAAUUGUUGCUAGGUGCAUUGCACGCAAUGUAAUAUUUCUAUUUGAUAAAUACCCUAACGCUAACAUGUUGGCUUUGUUUUGAUCCUUUUUGUUACUUUCAUUGCUAUCAUAACAGAGGGUGGUUAGUUUGUGGCACUUUGGCGAUUCGUCCAUACAACACAAGGUCAAAGAGCAAGUAGCCAUGGCUAGUAAAGAAACAGACGCUGGGGUUGUAGACCCAUCAAGAGAGUUUGUGGAGUCAGAGUCUGAAUUGAAAGAGGAGGUCCAAAGGUUGAAACAACAGAAUGGCAGAAAUGUAUCAGUCUUGGAUCAGGGGGCAUCAUCCACCUUUAUUCCCCACUAACUACACUAAAAACCAUGCAACUAUCCCACAACUAUCACAAACCCAAGUUCCCACUGCUGUUGAUAUCUCCCCACAACAUUUUCACAUUCCACUCUUCAAAAGCACAUCAUAUCCCGCUCCUUUGACCACUCGUGUUUUUGUAGCUCAUCCACCAGCUACUCUUCCUCGAUCCACCAGCGCGACUAUGUUCCAAUCUCCAGAUGUCCAACACUAUGAUCUAGAACCAAUUUUCAAGGUCUCAGGUCCAUACUCUUACGCUCUUCAUUCUGAGCCUCCCGGUGAAACUGCAAAGCCUACUAAGAUUGUGGAGCAGGAUGAGAUAUCCAGAAAGCUAAAAGGGUCUAAAAUGCUAAAGCUUAAUUUAUAUGAUGGGCGUGGAGAUACAGUAGCCCAUCCGAGGGGUUAUUUCAGUGAAAUAAGAGGUUUUUGCGGGAAAUAUAAGGUAUUGAUGGCGUAUUUCAGUCAGAGUCUGAGUGGGGAAGCUCUAGAGUGGUACACCCGCCAAGACACUAGUAAGUCGCAUGCAUGGGGUGACCUAGCUCAAGAUUUUGUUCGGCACUAUCAGUACAAUGUUGACAUUAUCCCAGACCGCUCCUCCCUAUCUCAGAUGGAAAAGAAACCCAAGGAAGAGUUUAGGUAGUUUUGGUUCAGAUGGAACGAACAAGUUGCUGGGAUCAGUCCUCCGAUUGAUAGAAAAGAUGUUGUCGAGCCCAGCCAAUGACAGGAUCUAGUGGUCAUUCCUGCUAAACUCUUUCAGCCUCAAUACCGACCCCAUGAAUAUCCUUGUACUCCAAAUAAUCCUCCCCAAUGCUACUUUCCUCCACAAAAUCCCCAAAGUCAUACCUUACCUCCUCAGUACUCUAUCCACAAUGCACCGCCAUAUGCUCCACACCCACGAAACCUGCGACGGCUUGCACCACCUCCACAAAUGUCUUACCCACCUCAAAAAGCAUAUCAACCCCCUACCCGAAAGAGGUUCCAACCAAGGCCGGAGUACAAAUGAGAAGGCAGCAACAAAGAGAAAAGUCUUUCACUCCUAUUGAAGAAUCAUAUGCUAGUUUAUUAAAAAGGCUGAGGCAAUUGGACAUGUUAAAGCCGAUUCAGAUAAAAAUGUUGAAACGCUUUCCAAAGAGUUUUGAUUUUUCUCAAAGGUGCGCAUAUUGCUCUAAUGCCCUGGGGCACGACAUAGAAAAGUGCUGGAAUCUGAAAAGGGAGUCCAGAAGCGUAUUGAUGCAGGUGACAUUACCGUGCAAAAUCCAAAUGCAACAAAUACUAGCCAAAGUCCAUUGUCUGUUCAUAAUGAGACGCAUAUGGUGGACAUGAUUUGUGUGGAAAAGGAAUAUGAGAACUCUUCUGAAUCCCUUGGAGGGCCACUUACCGCAAAGUUUUCAGCGCUAUCAGUUUCAGUUCUUUUAAGGAAGAGUUGGCAAAAGGGACCCAAAAGUUGUUUGUUUAGGUCAACGUGAUGGAAAUUGGUGAAGGUCCUAGUAAUUUUGAUGUGCAACCCAGUGGCUAAGAUGUUGAGCUUGGUAAUUGGAAAGACACUCCUUUCUUGGCUAGCCAGGGAGGAGUUUUGGUGAUUUAUUUUGUUGUCAUUUCUAUCUUUGGGUCAUUUCAGGGUUGUAAUUCGGACAUUGUCUUGUGGCUCAAACCCUUCUGCUUCUUAUUUUUUCUAGUUUGUUUAGUAGUAGUAACUCGUCUAGCAUUAUCUAGGAUUGUUCCAGGGUUGUAACCCAUGUCUAUUUUGCUUGUUUUGUUCAAACCUUUUUCACCAUCUGUCUAAUGCAAUCUCCUAUUUUCUAUUAGUUCUAGUCAGUUUUUUAGGUCACUUUUCCUUUUAUAGUUCUUUUCAUGCUGACUCUAGUGACAUGACAUGCACAUAUAAUUCUCAGCUUGGUCUUGAAAGUUAGUUUAAUCAUAAAGCAAUGACACCGUUUUGAACAUGAUAAAAAGAGGCAUUUGAGGAAACAAAUAAAGAUUCACGUAUUCUGAGAUAACCUGAAGCUUGAAUAGAGUGAAACUGAGGCAUUAAGUCUGGGAAAUCAAGAGGUCGAUAAGAGCAUACAACAAGAAGAUGUCUCUCAAGCAGUUUGAGGUAAAUCGGUCAGUGCUGAAAUGCAUUUUUCCACAUCAAGAUAAGGUUGAGUCAAGUCUGGUUCGAACUGGCCAGGGUCAUUCAUUGAGAUAAAGGUAUUGCUCAUUGGCACUUUUUAUUUGUGGUAAUGCCAUCACUAGAUACUUUGUUUGAUUUCUUUAUUUAUCUCCAAUUGCAUGUUUGUACUUGGCAUUUUUAAAAUUUGGUAUGACGAAGGCAUUUUAUUCUUCUACCUAAACACUUUUAUCUUUUGUUACCCCUUUUGAUCCUUACAUUAUUUUCUUUCGUACCCCUCUUUUGGAAUCAAAAAUAGAGUUAGGAACUAGAAAAGAAAAAGAANNNNNNNNNNNNNNNNAUUUCAGAAUCCAAUUCAAGUUAGAAGUAGCAGAAGCUCGCGGCAAGAAUGCGAGUCCACAGUCCGAGAUGAUGAACAGAAGUAAUCUCAAUCCAGAAUUUAAAAAAAAAAAAGGAAGUGAAUCCAAAAUUGCAGAAGCUGAGACAAGAGGUGGAUUGCUCAAGACAUGACUAAAGUCACAAGCAUGGUGUGUCCGACUUUGAUCCGAAAAAAUGAAGAAGAAUGAACUAGCACCUGCAACUAGCAAGCGUCAAGGUUCAAAUCUAAAGUCUGCAUGAAGAACCAUUCAAGACUCAAGAUCAAGCUUCAGAAGACUUAUAGAUAGGAAUCUUGUAACUUGUAGUUGACAAGCUUAGUUAGUCUUUUUCAUUUGUUAAUUUUGAUGUAAUAACAGGACCGCAGACCGGAACCUCGACAGAAUGGCACCUCGACCGGCUCUCCACCCCAGUAUACUCCAUCACCUCAUUCACUUCUGAACUAUAUGUGGCAUGAUUCCUUUAUUGCCAAGGAUAUGUAGGCAGCUCAGAUACUAGGGCUCGGUCACAUUCUCUUCCUUUCUCUUAGUUCUUGGUUUCUCUAAACAAGGGUCGGGUCAAAAAAACCUGUCUCGUCGUUCUUUGUCUGAAAACUCUUCGUGUUUCCAAUCAAAGAGGGGCAGCUGUAGACAUGUAAUUUUUGACCCUCCCCAUUUUACGUAUUUUAGUGUUAAAUAUUUAGUUUAGGUCUAAUAUAGCUAUUUCAACUAGUUUUAACUAUUUUACUUUAUUUUGUCAACAAAAAUAAAAAUUACAAAAAAAAAAUCUUUUAUUUAGGUUACUGGUAUUUUAUCUUGUUACUUUUAGUUUAUCUAUCUUACAUAAAAUUCGAAAAUACAAAAAUAGUUACACUUUAUUUUUCAAGGAUAUUAGUAUUUUGGGUAGUAGUAUUGUCUUAAUUUUGCGAUGAUUUUAAUCUAAUCUUGUUAUUAUUUUAGUUUGACAUUUGAAAAAUAUAAAAAAAAUUAGUUUCAUAUUUUAUGUAUAAUUUAGUUUAAUUAAUUAGAUAGAUUUUUGCAAUAUUUAGUAUAUUUAGUAUAUUAAAAGGUAUUUAGCUAAGGUUUGGACAUUCUUCUUUUAGUCCAAUUUUAAGACCCAAAUAUGAAUCCCAAGACCCUUUAACCCAUUAGAACUUUUUAAUUUAAUCUUAGCCAGUCACUCCCCUUCAUCCAAUGGUCAAAACUAAUCCCCACCCACAUAUAUCUACCUAUUUACAACCUAAAACAAAAACCCUAGAGAACACCCUGAACCCUUAGAGCCGCAGCAGCCCCAACCCGCCGACCCCUCCCCCUUCAGUCUAAAAACUAGCCUUCCACACCACCCUUCAGCCGCCAGCCACACGCCACCAAGCUCACCGGACGUCCGACCACAAUCCUCAACAACGAGCCGCCCACCCCUAAAACUCCGACAGACGCACACAACUUUCCCAAAAAUCAAUCUUCAUUCCUUAACUUGAAACACUGAUUCCUCCAACAAAGAGACAAAACCAAGAACCCUAGACACAUAUCCAAUUCGCCACAAAUAGCAAUUUUAUUUGUUACCAAAAAGUGCUUGUGACCAUGCUUUUUCUUCAUAGAAAGACCUGUACACUCCAAAAAAAAAUUAGGAGUACAUCGUUGUGGGGUUACAUUGUUGUUCCCAUGUUUUAGAAAAACAGCAAAUCAAGAGAUGAAAGUCGGUGGCUUUAACACAAGGGAAUGAACUGUAUAAGUGGAGUAUUCCGGUGAAAUUGAAGGCGUGAUCGAGGCAGUGAGGUUUUCCGAUUGAGGUGUCCAUUCGCGGUUUUCCAUCUCCGAUUGUAGGCUCCUACUUGGUCGAGUUAGACAUCAAAGGUCCAUUCACGCUUCUCUAACUUGAAAUCUUUUAAUUGCUUUAUUUGAUAGUGAAUUUGAUUUAUGAAACUCUCUGUUAUUUUGUCUUGUUCUAGAUUAAUGGAUGAUUUGUCUUCUCUGCU
rnacentral:lncRNA from 1 species